UUAUCGUGGAGUUUUUCGACUGAGGUGACAAUGGUUCUUGUUGUAUCUGCGAUUAUGGGAUUUCUUGCAAGCUAUAGUACCAUGUUGCCCGUUUGCACGGCUUUCUUGGCUUAUUUGUUGUAUCCAUUGUCGUUGGUUUUGGUCUACGUUCUUGGUGAAAAUGACUGGCUAUCGUUUAACCUUAGUUAGGUCAUACUACA
rnacentral:lncRNA from 1 species